rnacentral:rRNA from 1 species
UAUUGCACAAUGGGGGGAACCCUGAUGCAGCGACGCCGCGCGAGUGAAGAAGUAUUUCGGUAUGUAAAGCUCUAUCAGCAGGGAAGAAAAUGACGGUACCUGAAUAAGAAGCCCCGGCUAACUACGUGCCAGCAGCCGCGGUAAUACGUAGGGGGCAAGCGUUAUCCGGAUGUACUGGGUGGAAAGGGAGCGUAGACGGUUAUGCAAGUCUGGAGUGAAAGCCCGGGGCCCAACCCCGGGACUGCUCUGGAAACUGCGUCGCUGGAGUACGGGAGGAGCAGGCGGAAUUCCUGGUGUAGCGGUGAAAUGCGUAGAUAUCAGGAGGAACACCGGCGGCGAAGGCGGCCUGCUGGACCGUGACUGACGUUGAGGCUCGAGAGCGUGUGGAGCAAA